GAGACCAUCGCCAUGGUUCGGCGUGUCCACGCUGCAGCGCACCUGUGUUGCAUCAGAUCGUCAUCUCCAGGAUUCAAAAGGAGCAGACUGCCAGCACUUCAUUGCCUGAGUGUUUUGCCAGGAAUGGUGCUUCCUCGUGACUUCCUGAGAAGACUCCGUUCUGGUUUCUUGGAUUUCCCUCCCUCGUGGAUAAUACCCACUGGUUGUCCGAGCUCCACCCUCACCCUCUCCGUCUGAUCCCAAGCAGACUCUUGAUAUCUCCAGCUGGCAGUCGGACCGCUUCUCCGUUUUUCCCACCACGCUCGAACUUACCUGUCCGCCCUCCAACGCAGUAUCCACGACUGGGUUCGAACCUUUCCUCUACCAUCUCUUUAGGACCUGGAUUUCUGUAAGGACCCACACUAGGAGACCUAAGCCCCGAACCUGCAGAGUCACCCCUCCUGGACGGACAAAGCCUCUACAACAAAGCAGAACAGAGAGAUGGUUCUCUUGGGGCCUCAGACUCCAUGGAGCAGCCUGGCAGGGCUUUUUCCUGGGUGUCGGACUCACUGGCUGCUGGAGAUGGAUCCUUGGGUGGUGGUCUUGCUGGAGCAAGAAUUUGAGGUCACCCCAUUGGAACUACUACUGAAGUCCUAAUUUUGUACACAAUGUAGAAUAAUUGCAUAUUGAUGGCAGACCAUAAAUCAAAUCAAUGUAUUUUAUGAUUAAUUUUGAUUUAAUAAAAGCUAUUUAUUUUAUUUACUUUAUAAGGUAUGACAACUUUUGGAUAGUUAUUUAAAUUCUUAACCAUCUUAAAAUUGGCAAAUACUAACUUCAACAGGCACAUUAGUUUCUGUCUCCCGGCAUUUUACAACGUUGUCCAGCCAGGACAACAUAUAAAAAAUAGGUGGCACACCUCUCUUUGCUCCAUCCCCACUUUUGCCUUUCAUUUUUCUCUAAAUCUAUCCCUAAGGUACUUCCAUUUACUGCAACAAAAUGCCUCGUCCUUUCCAAGGGUCUGGGCUAUUUUAUUCCAUGAUUUCUUUUACUCUUUAGAAGUUUUUAUAUUUUCUCAAAGAUGUGUCGUAUAGUGAUAGAAUUGAAUAAUAGUAUAUAUAAAUACUCAUUAUCUUUAAGGACUGCUAGGCUCUUUGUUUCUAGAAUGUGUGCCUUUUACUGGUGAUGCCUGCAGGAAGCGAUAAGUGUGCCAAAUUGGAAGCAGAUGCCAGCCACUCUGGAGCCAAAAUUGUGAGCUGACCAGACAGGAAACACCCAAAGGCUAACGGUCAAAGUUU